rnacentral:rRNA from 1 species
UUCCGUAGGUGAACCUGCGGAAGGAUCAUUAUUGAAUUUUAUUAAUGAGGAGUUGAGUUGUUGCUGGCCUUUUCUACCUUAAUUUGGCAGGAGGGGCAUGUGCACACCUUCUCUUUCAUCCAUCACACCCCCUGUGCACUUGUGAGACAGCAAUAGUUGGUGGAUUUAAUUCCAUCAUCCAUUUGCUGUCUACUUAAUUUACACACACUCUACUUAAUUUAAACUGAAUGUAAUUGAUGWAACGCAUCUAAUACUAAGUUUCAACAACGGAUCUCUUGGCUCUCGCAUCGAUGAAGAACGCAGCGAAAUGCGAUAAGUAAUGUGAAUUGCAGAAUUCAGUGAAUCAUNGAAUCUUUGAACGCACCUUGCGCUCCUUGGUAUUCCUUGGAGCAUGCCUGUUUGAGUAUCAUGAAAUCUUCAAAGUAAACCUUUUGUUGAUUCAAUUGGUCUUUUUUACUUUGGUUUUGGAGGAUCUUAUUGCAGCUUCACACCUGCUCCUCUUUGUGCAUUAGCUGGAUCUCAGUGUUAUGCUUGGUUCCACUCGGCGUGAUAAGUUM